GAUGAACGCUGGCGGCGUGCCUAAUACAUGCAAGUCGAGCGAACAGACGAGGAGCUUGCUCCUCUGACGUUAGCGGCGGACGGGUGAGUAACACGUGGAUAACCUACCUAUAAGACUGGGAUAACUUCGGGAAACCGGAGCUAAUACCGGAUAAUAUAUUGAACCGCAUGGUUCAAUAGUGAAAGACGGUUUUGCUGUCACUUAUAGAUGGAUCCGCGCCGCAUUAGCUAGUUGGUAAGGUAACGGCUUACCAAGGCGACGAUGCGUAGCCGACCUGAGAGGGUGAUCAGCCACACUGGAACUGAGACACGGUCCAGACUCCUACGGGAGGCAGCAGUAGGGAAUCUUCCGCAAUGGGCGAAAGCCUGACGGAGCAACGCCGCGUGAGUGAUGAAGGUCUUCGGAUCGUAAAACUCUGUUAUUAGGGAAGAACAAAUGUGUAAGUAACUAUGCACGUCUUGACGGUACCGAAUCAGAAAGCCACGGCUAACUACGUG
rnacentral:rRNA from 1 species